CGCAGCGAGCCGCCUCUAGCCUGGGGCGGAACCAGUGAGGGCCUCUGCGGCAACUCCGGACCCCGGCCGGAUUCCUCCCCACCAACUGGACCCUGCCUCCGGAGAUGAUACCAGAUCCCAAAUGAAGGAGCCAGAAAGUCUCCUGCCCUCGACCUGAAGAUGUGGGGUCUUAGGCCAGUGCAGCCAUCCCAGAAAAUCAGGAGAUGUUAACUGGUAAUUCCAGAACAAAGACUUCCUGUGAUUCUUGGGAACACAGUCCUCUACCAUCCGUCCGCCUGCCAUACCCUAACCGUGGAGAGUUCUGCUGCCUGUCAGUACAUUAAGGCUCAGAAAAGCCCCAAGGGAGAGAAACCUGUUUCAUCCUGUUUAAUGGCUCAAUAAACAAGGUUAUUUGCACAGAAGGAGCCUUGUCUUUACCCUCGCUGCAAAUGCUUUCACCCAACACAUACAGAUUUUCUCAUAAUUCCAGACUGGAAAACUCUGGAAAAGAACAUAGAUCUAUAGGAUCACCCACUUCAUGCUCCUGGAGGGCCUGUACCAACUCAGUAAUCCCAUGGGCAGACUUUAAAGAUAAUCCAGUUAGAAGUGUAAUGUCCAUUCGUGUUGAAUUUCUCUCUCUCUCUCCCUCUCUCUCUCUCUCUCUCUCUUUUUCUUUAAUAAUCCAUUGUCUUUUAAAUGCUGGACUUUUCCGCUCUUCACCCUAAGGCCUCAGGCUUGGGCUUUGAUUCUCUCUGGGCUGGAACCACCAGAAGCCUUGGAUCAUCCUCUUGCCUUGCAGGGUAGGAGGAGGGGCUGGUUGUCCUCCACUCCUCCUUCCCUGGGGCAGCCCAGAUUCCGGGUCAGUAAGACCUUGGCCUGCCCCAGCCUUUUCCUCCUAAGGAGAGGGGCAAGGUGGCUGUCAGCUCUCCAGACCCAGAGCAGGGGUCAGGGCUGGCCUGGGAGGCCCAGAGCCUGUUGUGGACCUUCUCUAGCACACUGCCUCUCUCUGGGUGGUGGAAUAUAUCAAAGGAGGUCACUGGAGUUGUUGACCAGAUGGGGUUUGUGCAGUCAUAAACCCCCAGCUGGGGCACUGGGGGAAGAAAGACAGGGGAGGGAUGGUGCUGCCCCAAUCCUCCCUGAGCUCUGCAGUCCCCCACAUGGUGCAGAUCAGGCAAGGGUGUGGCCACAGGUUGGUUGCAAAACCAGGCCAGAGCACCAGUAGAGGGGCCUCCCUGGAGGAGGCAGCAUUGGAGGAUGGCAUGGAGAGUGACAGAUAUUACAGUCCCAAACUGGAAGGAAGCUUGGGGCCUGGCAAAACUGUGAAAGGAUAUAAGUUAGGAUCUGGAAGAAUGAAAAGUGGGAGCAAGGAGAGCACCUCUGUACAGGAAACCAGGUCUUGAGCUUUCUCAAGGCCCAGGCACAACCCCACUGUCUGGGAAGAAAGUCAGAUAACCCAGCACUCACCCAGGAUCCCAGACACGGCUGAGGAAAAUCCACUUUAUCUUCACCCAAACCCUAAUAUCUCAGAAAUGGGGUGUGGUGGCAUUAAGCUAGGGCAGCUGCUUCUACUCUAAAAACGGUUCACUGAAAAUCCCUGGCAAUGGGGUGUUGAGAGCAUAAGCGUAUCAAGCUUACGGCCCUGACAGAUGGAUACAAGCAAGGAUCGAUUUUAAUGUUCGAGUUAGCGGUGUUUUUUCUUCCCACCUUUCAGGACCCCCCCCCCCCUUGCCAUAUCAGGGGAUGUGUACUUUAACAGAAACCCUGUGGGAGAGCAAGGAUUGACCUAGCGGGCCCAAUGUCCGAUGGUGGCAUUUCAGGUGCUGUGACAGAGGUCUUUGGGCUUGGAAUCUUCCCCAUACCCCUGUUAUCACACCACAGCCCUUAGGCACAUGCCCACCCCACGGCCAAUCCUGUUUGCUGAGAUAUCUCUGCUCCCUUUCGGGAGUGAGAGGAGCGGGGGGCCACCGUCAGAGGGCCUCGCUGGCCCAGCCGGUCCCACAUGGCCGGGCAUGUGCGGUUCAGUGGCCGGCUGAGGCCUAAGCAGAGGGGACAGCAGUGCCUUUCCUGAGACAAGUGGGAAGAAGGUAUCAGCCAUGGCUGACCGAGCGGUGACCCAAGGCCCAACACAGAGCCAAUUAGCGGCCACCACGAUGGCGGUGGGCUUGCCGCAGCUUCCACGGGAAGCCCCACGUGCAACCGGCGUGUCAGGAUGAGUUAGCACCGGGAGGGCUGAGUGGAGUCCUGCUGGAGGCUGCCUGGAUGGGGGAACAUGGGUGAUAACACUUCCCCCUGGGCUCUGGGGAGCCGGGCACGUGAGCACGCAUGCCUCUGCCUGUGCCUGCGCCCAUGUGCAUGGUUGUGAGUGCUCAUGCGCACAUUCACAAUUGAGGACUUGUGUGUCUGUGUGCCUGCCUGCUCAUGUUCGUUCAGCACGUUUCGUUCAUUUAACGUACUUUGUGUGUCCACUUCAUGCCGACUUUGUGUGCACUUGGGCAUUCUGAGACUAAACGGGCCAAAGUCUCUGCCCUCAUGGGGCUUCCAUUCUAGUGGGAGAGACAAAAAAGAAACAAACAUCUAUGUGGAAGCACAGUAGUAAGUGCCACGGGGAAAGGUAAAACAGGAAAUGGGGUAGGGGAGUUAUUUGAGAGUGUGAUCAGGGAGGACCCCUCUGAAGACGUGACCUUCACCUAAAUGAUGGCAGCCUGUUGAAUAUCAGGAGGAGGAUGGCUGUAGACAGAUGGCGGGCAUCGGGGACAGAGCAAGGGGAGUUAGAAUUCUACCACGCUGCCGGUGUGCAUGGCGUGGACAGGAGGAAAAGGGGGAUUCCACAGCUGUGGAGACAUCUGAUGGUCCAGACAGUGGGACAGCCCUCUGGGUAAAAAUCUAUUUGCCCAGCUCAGCUCUAAGGGGUAAUUCUGACCCUCCCCCAAAUCCAGUCCCAGGGUCGAGCACACAGAGACCUCUCUACUUGUGCGGGUCCCGACUGUCCCCAGGCACAGUCCCCUCAGCUCUGCCAAUCCAAUUGUGCCCAUAUAGUGCCAGCCACAGGAAGCCAUUGCCCAGGAAGAGAAAACAGGACCCUCCCAGCCCUAAAACCAGAGCCUGAAACUGGUCUCAUCCUAGUAGCCAGAGGCAACUGGCGUGAUGUGUAGGACCUGCUGGCAGGUCGGUGUGAUGUGAUGGCUGAGAGGCUGGAGGGGAACACUGGGGAUCCAGCCCAGGCUCCCCUUCGGAGGUCUGGCAUUGUGUAGCAACCAGGGUGGAAAAGAGGGAAGCUGGUGGCCUCUCCAGCCCUUGCUGUCUUGCCCAAUCCCUCUUCACAAACAAGGCAGGAUCCAGCUCCCAGCAAAGAGGCCAAGAGCCAGCUUCAGACCUUGCCUUCUAUUGUCUAAACCCCACAGCCCUGGAACAGAGAGCCUCAUUAGCUCAGGAGGGGAAGCUGAGCUGUGCCCUGCUCAGGAGACCUCCAGGAAAGGGCAGGUGAAAGGAAAGGGAGGUGGUUGGGUGGGAAACACUGUUAUUGCCUUGCCAAACCAGCCAAAGCCUUCCUGCCACCGUGGAAGAUUGACUUGGGUUUCCCAGGAUGAUGUCAGGCAUGGAUCCUGUGUCCAUGUGUCUCACUGGGAGCUGUGUCUGUGGGUCUACUUGUGCAUGUGUGCUUUUGAUAUCUAGGUCAGUCUGGUACCUUUCUGAUUGUUCACGUGUCUGUGAGUGAGUCCCAUGUGCCUAUAUGUCUGCCUGUGGGCCCCUCUGUGGCCCCUGAACAUGCAGGCUGUGUGGGGGCCUCUAUGUGUACAUGCCUUUCUGGGCAUGAGUGGGCGAGUUGUCUUGAGGUUUGUCACCUGUCAGCCUCUGAGGUCUGUACCACCCUGUUCCUUAGCCUGGCCCUAAGGCUCUGGGGAGAAGCUGCCUGCUCCACUCUUGUCAAGGCUGUAGACAGGGUGGCAAGGAGACUUGGUUCUUGGAGAUGUGAUUCUGCUGCUGUUGGCUGGCAGAGAUUUGCACUUAGCUUUGCCUACAUGUUGCCACCCACCCCACCCCCACUCCUGCUGCCACAGCUAGCCAGACCAGUGGCAUGCUGAUUCUGGCCUCUUACUGGCCUCUGGCUAUGGCUUCAGGCUCUCAUCACUGUUGCUGCCCAUGCUGAAGGAGUAUGGAGGCUGGGGAUGAGGAAAGGCAGGCAGGCUGGCUGGGACAGCAGUUCAUCCGGUAUGUUGGGCUCAGAUUUCAGAUUUGGGAGGAAAUUAAGAGGUAGUCUGGCCCUCUUCCCCAAUUUAACCGGUUUUGUCAGCUACAGUUGUGGUUCCGUGUGAGGGUGAGCCUGCUCCCUUCUAACCCGGCCCCUUUAGGACUCUCCCAAGGGUGGGCACCCCUCCCUGAAAAUCUGACACGCAGAAGUGAGGGAAAGGGGCUCCUAGUGGCAACCAGUGCAUCGCUUCUGAGCACCUCUACGUGCCUGCCAGGGCUUGAACCAGGCUGCAGGUGGACAGACGUGGGUCUCACAGACUGGCUGGGCAGGCAAGGCGUCACCUCCUAGAAAGUUCACUCAGAAGCUCAGAAGUCACAGGGAGGCAGCAGAUGAGACUGAUGAGGACUGUGGACUCAGUUUAAACAGGAGGUCAGAGAAGAAAGGGGUUAGAGUGGCCUAGAACUCUCAGCAAGGCUUUUGUGGAGGAGGGAUGCUGCCUGGGUCUUGAAAGACUGGUAGGAACUGACUGGACAGGCAGAGAGAAGGGGCAGGAAGAGCACUGUGAAGUAAGAAGGGUGAGUAGGAGAGUCUUUGCAGGGCAGGGGUCAGGAUGAGUGGGAUUCUUUAGGGUUCUAGAGCCAUGGCUCAAAAUGUCUCAUGUGGGGGUUGGGAGUAGGGCUAGGAAAGCUCCAGAGAGCUGUCCUUGGCUGAGUAGGGAUGAGAGGAGGAUGAAGAAAGGCAGGCUGGGUAGGGCAGCUGAGAGGAGGAGGUGGGUAUGAGUGCUCAGGACUCUUGUGACCCCACCAUCUCCUGUGCUCUCCUUUCCCCUAGGAUAGAAGUUCCCAUCCAGCUGCCCUGAGGAAACCCUGUGCAAACAGGAGACUUGCUGCCACCCAGGUCCCAGCCAGAGAGUCUGAUUCCAUCAGUCUGAGGUCAUUACAUUGUGUGACCAGGACCAAGAACCAUUUGACUCAGUGUUGGACAAGGAGGGGGAAGGGUCAGUCCAGCUGGCCGUGGGAUGGAAAGGGCCCAAACUUGGGGUCAGCACUAUUGAGCCCUGGGAACCUCUUCCCCUGGGACACUUAGAAUUCUGGAGUUGCAAGAAACAGAAACUCAGUGGUGCCUCACAGAACCAAGGAUAAGAAGGUAGCUGGGAAGGGAAGGGCCUGGAACUAGGAUCUGGAAGGCCCAGGCCAUGCUCCACUGACUGUACUCUAAGAACACAUCAGCCUGGGCCUUCUCAUGGCGGCCUGGCUUCCUUUGUUGUCAUCCACAUGAUAGGCCUGCAAGUUGACCCCUUAAUGGCCAAGUGCCACACACCACACACAGGCUGGUCCUGCUUUCUCUCAGGCACCUUUCCAGUUCUGGGAGAUAAUGAUGAGUUUGGCUAGCUUAGGUAAAGAGGAUCAGGGGCGCCUGGGUGGCUUGGUCGGUUGAGCGUCCGACUUUGGCUCAGGUCAUGAUCUCACGGUCCGUGGGUUCGAGCCCCGCAUCAGGCUCUGUGCUGACCGCUCAGAGCCUGCAGCCUGUUUCGGAUUCUGUGUCUCCCUCUCUCUCUGCCCCUCCCCUGUUCAUGCUCUGUCUCUCUCUGUCUCAAAAAUAAAUAAAAACGUUGAAGAAGAAGAAAAAAAUUAAAAAAAAAAGAGGAUCAGUUUGGCUAGCUUGGGUCAAGGCUCUACCUCUCCAGGGGUGCAGUAUCACCCAGCAGAAAUAUGGCUGUAGGUGGGAUAGAUUUGCCCACCAGAAGCCCCUCUUCAUGCUAGGCCCCAUGCCAGGUGCUGGGGUAUAGAAAUGAGCACAUAUAGAAACGAGCAAGGCUGGAGUCUGCAUCUGAGGCAAGAAAGCACGGAAAGAGAAGAAACCUCUCCUCUCUCUCUCUCUUUCUCUCUCUCUUGUCUGUGUGAGCAGAGAGGGGGCAUGCCGAGGCAAGGAGGGCUCCCCAGAGGGGCUUUACGUUUACAGGUUGUUGGAUUUGAAUUGCAUCACACCUCCACCUCCUCUUCCUGCUUCUCCUGCCUGCCCCCGCCCCCCAUGGCUGAUAACAGAGAGUUUUGUUUUGUUUUGAAAAGCAGGGCACCGUUGCUGCCCUAAACAAAAUAGGGGUUCUGGCAGGAGAGGACAAGGCAAGGAGGAGGUCUGGCAGUAGCCUGCUCAGCCUACAUGUGGCCAUUCCCCUUUAUUGUAAGCACCUGACUCAGACCACCGCAGGGCCACGAGGGAGGUGAUGAAAAGUUUGUCAAAGUGGAGGAAGAGUGUCACAUAUGAGACUGGCUGGAAGGAGAGGCCGUGCGGGAGUGUGUGCAUGUGAAGCAUCUGAAGAAUGGGUAUUCUGAGGCCAAGUAUCCUGGGGAAAGGCGUCCGUGUGUGCCUAAGAACAAGCCUCAGGCCCAGACCACUUCCUCACCAAGAGACAAAAAGCUCACAGAGCUAUGCUGGGCUUAUCACCUCUUGUGAGAAUGUCUUUCCCUGUUUCAGACUGGAUGUGUGCCUCUUUGUUCUGCCCAAGCGGUGUGUCAAUAGCCCUUGGGCACACCCCCAGCCUUCCAUAUUUCAAAGUCCAGGGAGGAGUUGGGGCCUUCUGCUGUGGUAGGAGAUGGCUGCACGGAAGUCAAAUGCCCUGCCGGCUGCGUCCGUUGUUGGGGGCACCCGCUGGCCAUGAGGGACAGAUGCUCACUGCUGAAACUGAUCUUCUCUUUUCUAUGUGAGUAAAGUGUUGUUCCAUCCAGUGCUUGACUGUGAUGUUUUCUUUGGUGAGUCCAACACCAAGAUGCAGUGGGCAGUGUUUGGAUUUCUGGUCCUGGUGGCUCGCAUUGUGAUGGCCUUGGCUACCCUCCUUGUAGUUGGAGUCCUCCCUUGGCACUGGUUCCUGCUGCACGGCGCUCUGCUCGACAGUAUCUCAGUGGUUAAGCAUGUGGGUAGCUCAUGCCCGGAAGACUAGGGACUGGUCGCAUCCCAGUUUGCCUGUGACUUUCCUGGUUAGCGCUGAAAUCCCCUGUGCUGAGUAUAUCAGCAUGGUUGGUCGCCCAGUAGAGUGGGCUGGGGCUUACCAGCAGAGUGAACUUGAUCAAUUUGCUAACUUCUCUGUGCCUCAGAUUCCUUACCUGUAAAAUGGGUAUAAAAAUAAUACCUACUUUAUAGAAUUUUUGUGGGGGUUAAACAAGAGAGUUUGUGUAAAGGACAUAGCUCAGUGCCUAGCACAAAGAUAUGUUCAACAAACAUUAGCCAUUAAUAACAAUAUUAUAUUAGAUAUAGACUUUUUCUGGGUGGUCCCAAGGGAGAAAACUGGACCAAUCUGCCCAGUAGAAGGAAAAAUUUCCUUAUAGACUGGGGAUAGUGAUUUGCUAAGGUGUUCAAAUAUAGGCUAAUGUUAGGCCUGCUUUGUGAAGUGGAUGGUAGAACUAGCCAUCUCCUGGUCCUGAAAAACCUUAGUCUUGUGAUAUAUUCAUUUCAUCCUUUUCCUUCCCCCCUUCCCCCCCCCCCCCCCAAGGAGGGGAGCUAGCUUGUCAGAGAGAGCAGUUUCUUUUCUUCUAAUCAGCAAUUCCUGGUCUGGUAGGCCACUCAGAGCUGCUUGAAUAAAGAUGGGGAGACAUUCCAGCCAUGAUUCCAAUAAUCUGUGUUAUGCUAAAGACAGACACAAACUAAUAGCUCUCUGCUGUCCUGGCCGAUGGGGCUGCCUCCUUCCUUGGAGAGGAGCUCCCAGCCCUGGUUGGGCUUCCGUUAGCUGGCUGCUUCCCCACAACCCUGCUCAGGGGCUCUGCUGUGUGUGUGUGUGUGUGUGUGUGUGUGUGUGUGUGUGUGUGAGAGGGAGACACACACACACACACACACACACACACACACACACACACACACACAGAGCCAGGGAGAGACAAGAGAGAGAGGUCAGCAAGGGUCUCAUGUGAUCUGUAUGAAGUCCCAGACUGCUUCCCUUCCCCCACCUUAUUCUUUCCUGUUAUUCCCCAGCCUCACCCCCUCACCCUCACCUCCCACGUGGUCCUCUCAGGCCUAGUAGCUUAAUGAAAGGCAAUUAAUAGAGCCCUUUGAGGACUUGUCAUUAGAAGGCCCUUUAAUUCAGCCACUUGAGUUGGGGCCCCAGGCAUGUGAGAGGGGUGCCAGGAACACCAGGGCAGCUGUUUGGGGUGGGGGAGGCAGAGCAGAGAAACAGGGUCAGGAGGCCUAGAAUCCUGGGACGUAUAGAUUAUGUGAACAUAGCAGGGGUCAUUGUUUUUCAUUGUUUGUGGUUUGUUUCUUAACCAAAUUUUGCUCUGGCUAAGCUGCAGCAGAACAAAGACCAGAGGGGUGAGAUGUCAAACAAUAAAGCUGCUGAUUACACAGACCAUCCUAGGAAAAAUUUCCCCUAGGACAUGGGCAUCUUGGAGAGGGGAUAUCAUUCAGUGACAUUGUAUGUGUGAGGGUACAGUGGGGGGCAUAACUGUGCUUCCUUUGGGGCUGGGGUGCUGACAGGGAAAGGGGCAGGAAGGAGCUCCACAGGGGGAGAAGAAGAUCAGAAAGGAAGAGGGGCUUGGGUCUCCAGGCCUGCCACCAUCUGUCUCUGACUUCACUGUGUCUCUCACACAACCAGGCCAGGCCAGGCAGGGGCAGCAGAGGCCCAGAUGCCGAUGUGGACUUUGUCUCCAUCUGUGUGUAGUGUGUGUGUGUGUGUGUGUGUGUGUGUGUGUGUGUGUGUGUGUGUUCUCCUGGCGUGCCCUCCUGGCCCACACUUAACACUGGUGAUAAGGCUUCCCACGGUCUCUCAAAACUCCUUCAAUAGACUUUGAACUAGCCGUCUUUGGUCCUCUGCAGCUCCUCUGGCUGCCACUAGAGGGCAGCAGUCAAGACGCAGAACUGAAGCUGCACACUGCUGCCCUCCCCAGCCUUUUCCUUCCGAAUCGUCCUGCUCUUCCCAGCCCCUGGGGAUGUGCCCGCCCCAGCUGUGUGGGCCAGUGGGACCACAGAACCAGCUAAGUUCCCAUCCCUGGCCUGGGGCUCAGGGAAGGUGUAAGGCUGUGAGAGUGUCAGAGUGAAGAUGCAGGAAGGGAUGGGAAGUGACCGGAACCUGGAGGUGUGUUCAUCAGCUCCCAUAAGGAUAAAGGUAGAGGGAAAAGAGGAAGACCCAGAGGUCCAGCAGGCUGCAGGGAGAUAAAGCAGGAUCCAGCCCACUAGCCAAAUGGCAGAUGGUGACAAGACAGGCAGAAUCACUCUCACAACAAAGCAAGUGACUUUUAAGAGACCAGAAAAAACAGUGGCUCUGGAGCCAGACUGCCCAGAUUCAAACCCCGCCUCUCCUAAGUACUAGCUGUGUGACCAUACACAAGGUGUCUAUGACUCAGGUUUCUUCUCUGUGGAAAGGACAUAAUAGAUGUGCUAGAGGUGAACAUUAAAUGGGUUUAUACAUACAAAUCAUUUAGAACAGUGCCUGGCACAGAGUAAGAACACUAUAAAUGCUAGCAGUUAAGUGUUUUGAGGAAGAGAUCCAUAUGAUGUUGAAAGCUAAUGUCCCCUAGAACAUCCUCAUGACAUGUAUGGAAAUUGGUCCCCACACACGCCAGCAUUAAAUGGUAACACAUGAGUGUGUGAACUAGUAAAAGUUAAAGGAUUGUGUGUAACAUUGGAAUAAGUGUAUAUACUUAUUGUCAAUAUGUAAAUCAACCAACUUCUGAAUCUACAGACCCUUUCACUCUUGAGUCCCUUGAACUGAAGGUGGGAAGCCCUCCUGCUUCCUCCCAACCCUCCUUCAAGGGAGGCUGGGUUUGCUCUCCCCUGUGACCUCCUGCCUACUAAGCAUCGUUCCUGAAGAGC